rnacentral:misc_RNA from 1 species
CACGUGUUAUUGUCACAUGCAACCCCGACGUUGCCAAAGAAAUACUUAACAGUACGGUGUUCGCAGAUCGUCCUGUGAAGGAGUCUGCUUACAGAUUAAUGUUCAACAGAGCAAUUGGGUUCGCCCCUUAUGGAGUGUACUGGCGAACUCUCAGGAGAAUUGCAGCCACACACCUCUUCUGUCCAAAGCAAAUCAAAGCUGCUGAGGCUCAGAGACGCAUGAUAGCUUGUCAGAUGGUGGACAUGUUCAAGAACCAUGAUCAAAGUUUUACAGUUCGUGGAUUACUUAAACGUGCUUCCUUGAACAACAUGAUGUG